rnacentral:lncRNA from 1 species
UUGGAGAAAACUCAGACUUGUCUGACUCUGACCCAGAGAUUGUUAUUAAAAGGCCCUCUGAGUUUGAUCUUGCUGAUACACUGGUAAGUACAAUUUAAAAUUUUUAAUAGAGUUUUCUUGUUGUUUAGCCACCACCAUUUGCCUCAGUUCAGUAAAACAGUUAAUAGUUAUAUGUGAAAUACAUUUUGUGUGUGUGUGUGCGUCCUCGCGUGCGUGCGUGCGUGUGUUUGUUUGUUUGUUUCAGCCAUGGGAACUUCAACAUGAAAGCAGUCCUUUACAGAAAGCAGCAGAAUAUGAGUAAGUGAUAUUUGAAGAACAUGUAAUCUUUUACUGUUUUUUGCCUACACUUUGUAUUAAUGAGAUAUACACUUUUGUCAUUCAUUCUGUAUAUGGUUUUUGGAACAUGGACUACAUAAUACUUGUAUUGCUUGUUUGUUAAUCAAGAUGCUUAAAUAUUUUCAAAGUGUCAAUUAAUAUUUUCACAGUACACAACAAAAAUGCUUUUCUUUGUUCUCUAAGGAAGGGUGCUGGGGAUCUUGUGCUUGCUAAUGAAGUACAACAGGUAAAAAACUAUUUUAUUAGUAAAACAGUGCAGCAGACAAUCUCCACCGCCUUUACUUUGCAAUUAGAUAACGAUUCACUGUUUGCUGAGCCCCCAGAAGAACCUGUGUUAGUAAUUUAAACAUUUGAAUCCAAUUAACCGCCAUCUUGUUCUAUACAAGACAUCAUGCAAUCAUGAGAGAAGUAUAUAUACCUUUAAAAAAAAAAAAGUUUCCCUUUUUUUUAGAGACACCAAUUUGCAGGCACAUGGAAUUAUUGCAAAUUUGGCACUGGAACUUGACCACAAGAAGGUCAGCAGGUUCAAUAUAUCAAGGUCAGCUGUAUGGGAUGGAGCUGUUAGAGGAUUUCGACGCAGCACAUACUCUGACAACUACGACAUGUUCAUCAAGUUUAAUGAUGAUGCUGGCAGCUUUGAAGAAGGUUUGGAUACAGGUGGCCCGAGGCGUGAAUUCCUCACACUUCUUAUGGGCAGUCUGCGAAAUCGCCCCAUCUUUGAUGGACCUCCAGAGAGCCGUUAUCUUGUAUAUAAUUCAAGAGGUGGAUGUUUUCUCCGUAAUUAUUACAAUGGAAAUUUUAAUAAAAAUUGGCGUAUUUUUUUCAUUAGCAUAUUUAAUAGCAAUUAACCAUGAUAAUUAUGUGCCCUGUAUAACAGCUGCCAGGCAAGAUGAGUACUUUUUAGCAGGAAAGAUGAUCGCUGUAUCCAUUGUGCAUGGGGGACCAGCACCACAUUUCCUCUCCAAGAACCUGGUCAACCACAUCACAGGGAAUCAGAGUUUCAGCGCCACUGUAGAAGAUGUGCAAGAUGAGGAGAUCACAAAAAUUUUACAUCAGGUCCUGAAAGCUGAAUCAGAGGAGUCUUUGCAUAAUCUUAUUUUGCAAAACAGCACAAUCUUCCAAACUGCUGGAUGCCUCAGAAACGUCAAGCCUUUUGAGAAACAAGCAUUUGUGGAGGAGUACCUCAGAUGGUACAUCCUUGAAAGAAACCAAAGUGUCAUUCAACGGUAA